CUUUACUGUAGCCUGGUAUUGGGUUCGGGCUUUGACUGCGCAGGAUAGGUGGGAGACUGAGAAGUGUGCCUUGUGGGGCACAUAGAGUCAACGGUGAGAUACCACUCUGUCAGAGCUAGAAUUCUAAACUUCACCCGUGAUCCGGGGCAGGAACCGUAUCAGGUGGGCAGUUUGACUGGGGCGGUCGACUCCUAAAAGGUAACGGAGGCGCGCAAAGGUGUUCUCAGGCUGGUUGGAAAUCAGCCGUAGAGUGUAAAGGCAGAAGAACGCUUGACUGUGAGAGUGACAACUCAAGCAGGGUGGAAACACGGCCUUAGUGAUCCGACGGUAUGCGCGUGGAAGUGCCGUCGCUCAACGGAUAAAAGUUA
rnacentral:rRNA from 1 species